GACGAACGCUGGCGGCGUGCUUAACACAUGCAAGUCGAACGGUAAGGCCCUUCGGGGUACACGAGUGGCGAACGGGUGAGUAACACGUGGGUGGUCUGCCCUGCACUUCGGGAUAAGCCUGGGAAACUGGGUCUAAUACCGGAUAGGACCACUGCCUGCAUGGGUGGUGGUGGAAAGCUUUUGCAGUGUGGGAUGGGCCCGCGGCCUAUCAGCUUGUUGGUGGGGUGAUGGCCUACCAAGGCGACGACGGGUAGCCGGCCUGAGAGGGUGACCGGCCACACUGGGACUGAGAUACGGCCCAGACUCCUACGGGAGGCAGCAGUGGGGAAUAUUGCACAAUGGGCGCAAGCCUGAUGCAGCGACGCCGCGUGAGGGAUGACGGCCUUCGGGUUGUAAACCUCUUUCAGCACCGACGAAGCGCAAGUGACGGUAGGUGCUGAAGAAGGACCGGCCAACUACGUGCCAGCCGCCGCAGUAA
rnacentral:rRNA from 1 species